CGGGGCGUGGCGCAGUCUGGUAGCGCAUCUGCUUUGGGAGCAGAGGGUCGUUGGUUCGAAUCCAGCCGCCCCGACCA
rnacentral:tRNA from 3 species